AAACUUUCAACAACGGAUCUCUUGGUUCUGGCAUCGAUGAAGAACGCAGCGAAAUGCGAUAAGUAAUGUGAAUUGCAGAAUUCAGUGAAUCAUCGAAUCUUUGAACGCACAUUGCGCCCGCUGGUAUUCCAGCGGGCAUGCCUGUUCGAGCGUCAUUU
rnacentral:rRNA from 15 species